rnacentral:rRNA from 1 species
UUCCUACGGGGGGCAGCAGUGGGGAAUAUUGCGCAAUGGGCGAAAGCCUGACGCAGCGACGCCGCGUGAGGGAUGAAGGUUUUAGGAUUGUAAACUCCUUUUGUUAGAGAAGAUUAUGACGGUAUCUAACGAAUAAGCACCGGCUAACUCCGUGCCAGCAGCCGCGGUAAUACGGAGGGUGCAAGCGUUACUCGGAAUCACUGGGCGUAAAGAGUGCGUAGGCGGGGUAAUAAGUCAGAUGUGAAAUCCUGUAGCUUAACUACAGAACUGCAUUUGAAACUGUUACUCUGGAGUGUGGGAGAGGG